CCUACGGGGGGCAGCAGUGAGGAAUAUUGGUCAAUGGACGAGAGUCUGAACCAGCCAAGUAGCGUGAAGGAUGACUGCCCUAUGGGUUGUAAACUUCUUUUAUAUGGGAAUAAAAUGUUCCACGUGUGGGAUUUUGUAUGUACCAUAUGAAUAAGGAUCGGCUAACUCCGUGCCAGCAGCCGCGGUAAUACGGAGGAUCCGAGCGUUAUCCGGAUUUAUUGGGUUUAAAGGGAGCGUAGGUGGAUUGUUAAGUCAGUUGUGAAAGUUUGCGGCUCAACCGUAAAAUUGCAGUUGAAACUGGCAGUCGUGAGUACAGUAGAGGUGGGCGGAAUUCGUCGUGUAGCGGUGAAAUGCUUAGAUAUCACGAAGAACUCCGAUUGCGAAGGCAGCUCACUGGACUGCAACUGACACUGAGGCUCGAAAGUGUGGGUAUCAAACAGGAUUAGAUACCCUAGUAGUC
rnacentral:rRNA from 1 species